UACGGGGGGGGCAAGCGUUGUUCGGAAUUACUGGGCGUAAAGGGCUCGUAGGCGGCCAACUAAGUCAGAUGUGAAAUCCCCAGGCUUAACCUGGGAACUGCAUCUGAUACUGGAUGGCUUGAAUCCGGGAGAGGGAUGCAGAAUUCCAGGUGUAGCGGUGAAAUGCGUAGAUAUCUGGAGGAACACCGGUGGCGAAGGCGGCAUCCUGGACCGGUAUUGACGCUGAGGAGCGAAAGCCAGGGGAGCAAACGGGG
rnacentral:rRNA from 1 species